UACGGAGGGGGCAAGCGUUGUCCGGAUUUAUUGGGCGUAAAGAGCGUGUAGGCGGCUUGGCAGGUCCGUUGUGAAAACUGGAGGCUCAACCUUCAGACGUCGAUGGAAACUGCCUGGCUAGAGUCCGGAAGAGGAGAGUGGAAUUCCUGGUGUAGCGGUGAGAUGCGCAGAUAUCAGGAAGAACACCCGUGGCGAAGGCGGCUCUCUGGGACGGUACUGACGCUGAGACGCGAAAGCAUGGGGAGCGAACAGG
rnacentral:rRNA from 1 species